UAUCUGGUUGAUCCUGCCAGUAGUCAUAUGCUUGUCUCAAAGAUUAAGCCAUGCAUGUCUAAGUAUAAGCAAUUUAUACAGUGAAACUGCGAAUGGCUCAUUAAAUCAGUUAUCGUUUAUUUGAUAGUUCCUUUACUACAUGGUAUAACUGUGGUAAUUCU
rnacentral:rRNA from 1 species